ACUCCUACGGGAGGCAGCAGUGGGGAAUAUUGCACAAUGGGCGCAAGCCUGAUGCAGCCAUGCCGCGUGUAUGAAGAAGGCCUUCGGGUUGUAAAGUACUUUCAGCAGUGAGGAAGGCGGGUACGUUAAUAGCGUGCUCGUUUGACGUUAGCUGCAGAAGAAGCACCGGCUAACUCCGUGCCAGCAGCCGCGGUAAUACGGAGGGUGCGAGCGUUAAUCGGAAUUACUGGGCGUAAAGCGCAUGCAGGUGGUUCGUUAAGUCAGAUGUGAAAGCCCGGGGGCUCAACCUCGGAAUUGCAUUUGAAACUGGCGGACUAGAGUACUGUAGAGGGGGGUAGAAUUUCAGGUGUAGCGGUGAAAUGCGUAGAGAUCUGAAGGAAUACCGGUGGCGAAGGCGGCCCCCUGGACAGAUACUGACACUCAGAUGCGAAAGCGUGGGGAGCAAACAGGAUUAGAUACCCUGGUAGGAUAG
rnacentral:rRNA from 1 species